CACGUAGGGGCCAAGCGUUGUCCGGAUUUAUUGGGCGUAAAGAGCUCGUAGGCGGUUCGACAAGUCGGGGGUGAAAACUCCGGGCUCAACCCGGAGACGCCACCCGAUACUGUCGUGACUGGAGUCCGGUAGGGGAGUGGGGAAUUCCUGGUGUAGCGGUGAAAUGCGCAGAUAUCAGGAGGAACACCGGUGGCGAAGGCGCCACUCUGGGCCGGUACUGACGCUGAGGAGCGAAAGCGUGGGUAGCAAACAGG
rnacentral:rRNA from 1 species